GUGCCCCAAGGAAGGAGGCUGGACAUCCCUCAUCUGUUUCUCACUGGUGUCUUUCUUCUCUCCCUUGCAG
ensembl:miRNA MIR6830 microRNA 6830